GUUUGUUUGAAGCUAUAGACAAUUUAGCCUGCCCCCUGAUAUUAAAGGGCCGCAGUAUUUUAACUGUGCAAAGGUAGCAUAAUCAUUAGGUUUUUAAUUAAGAUCUUGUAUGAAUGGCUGGACAAAAGAAAAGCUCUCUUUAUGUUAAUUUUGAAUUUAACUUUUAAGUGAAAAGGCUUAAAUAUUCUAAAGGGACGAUAAGACCCUAUAAAACUUAACAUUAUAAUUAUAUUUUAGUGAAUUUUAAAGAUUUAGUUUAAUUAUUUGUUGUGUUGGGGAGACAUAAGUAAAAAACUGCUUAAUAAGUUAUCAGUUAUUAGUGAAUAGAAGAUCCUUUUUAGAGAUUAAUAGAUUAAGUUACUUUAGGGAUAACAGCGUAAUUUCUUUUGAGAGUUCUUAUCGAAAAAGGAGAUUGUGACCUCGAUGUUGAAUUAAAAUAUCUAUAUAGUGAAGAGAUUAUAUAAGAAGGUCUGUUCGACCUUUAAAAUUUU
rnacentral:rRNA from 1 species